rnacentral:lncRNA from 1 species
UGAAGAUGAUGAUGUUCAUGUUUUGGCAACGUUUUUAAUCCAUAGGCCACACUUUUCUGCACUCUGCAUGUGUUAUUUUAGGGCAGGUCAUGCAUUGGUCCACCUAGGCGCGUGUUUGGCAACAUCAUUGGCUCAGAUUCGUUCGCCUUGCCACAUAAGCUUUAAUGAAACGCAGAGUUUCAAGGCUUGGCAUGCUGAGUCAUUUAAAUUGGCUCCUAGUUCGAUCCUCAGCCGUGCCAAUUAAUUCAAAUGCCUCUCAUAUU